AUAGUGGAGGAAAGUAGUGGGUGUAAUAGUAGUUUUUAUUGUUAAAUACUCCCUCCGUCUCAAUUUAUAGGUCCAUUUUGGAAAAAAAAAAUUGUCCCAAAAUACUUGUCCCUCUCUUCUUUCAAUACAAAUUUAUCUACAUAUUAAUUGUGAUUUUUUUGAAACUCAACAUUAUUCUCAUUUCUCAAUGGACUAAAUCCCUAUAUUUAUUGUGAUUUUUUUGAAACUCAACUAUAUUCUCACUUAUCAAUGCACUAAUUAAUGAUACAUGAGAUAAGAUUCUAUCUAACCGACUUUUUUCUUAAUAUGCGUGUUUAUUCCAAAAUGGACCUAUAAAUUGAGACGGAGGGAGUAUGAGAUAGUGGGGGAAGAUAGUGGGUGUAAUGAUGAGAAAAACUUACUAUUUAUGGUAAUGUAAAGAAAUGAGAGGGACAUCCCAAAAUAGUAAUUGUAAACAAAUGAGAGGGAUAGAGGGAGUACUAUUUUAGGACAUCACAGAUCCCAAUUUAUAGAUGAAAUUUAUCGGAUUUCAUUUAAAUUUUAAUAUAGAUUAUUCCACCUAAAACAUCAAGAAGUUUAAACAAGCAUAUAUCGUUACUAUUGUAUUAUUUAGAUAUCGGUCAGAAGGCA
rnacentral:lncRNA from 1 species